UACGUAGGGGGCAAGCGUUGUCCGGACUUACUGGGCGUAAAGCGUGUGCAGGCGGGUGGCUAUGUGCCGUGUGAAAGCUCCCGGCUUAUCCGGGAGAGGGCGCGGUAGACAGGCUGCCUGGAGGCUCGGAGAGGUCAGUGGAAUUCUCGGUGUAGUGGUGAAAUGCGUAGAUAUCGAGAGGAACACCGGUGGCGAAGGCGGCCAACUGGACGAGUACUGACGCUGAGACACGAAAGCGUGGGGAGCAAACAGG
rnacentral:rRNA from 1 species